GUUCCCACAUCUUCUACUCCACCCCCACGGUUUCUGCUGCUGCAGAGGAUGGAGACGGAGACAGAGGACUAGCCAGGAAGAGGAGCCAGACUUUAACGCAUUCCACUAAGCAAGUAUUUACCGAGCCUUUUGGGGUGGGUACAAAGAAAUGCCUGAAGUGGCCUCUCACAUAUGGAGAAGCGACUUUGGAUAACCUCCACUUCCCCCAGUAUGUUACUUGGAGAGCACACUUUACCUGACGCUGACAACGCAGAGACUUGAAGCAGCAAGUUAGGAGGAAGAAAACCGCUAAGGGCGAUUGGAAGCAAAUGACAGUUAAAGGACAUUCUGACAAUGACACAGGAUGGAAUGCAGAAAAAAAUAAGCUCAAGAACUCGAAUUGGAGUUAAUGCCACGGACUGUCCAGUGAGGGGGCAUUGCUGCAUUGUCAAGGUUUACUGAUGAUCAGUCAUAGCCGCAUCUCCAAGAAAGCUCAGUACACUCAGACCAGACCCGAGCGACUCCCAGAGCCUGAGCAACGACUGGAUCUAAGUCACAAAUGCACAGCACUCUUCAAACCUUCCGCCUUUGGGUGCCGGGGUGAGAGAAAACACAGUGCUCGGUUUACAGGAUGAGCCUUACCCACCUCCUCCUCAGAGGGCUGAAGUGCUGAGUCCCAGCUCCACGGGGCUCUUCUCCAAGCUUCUGAGGCACCAGCACAAAUGAGGUGACAACAUCCCCUGCACCAGCUCCCUCCUCCAAGCUUCCAGGUGGGGAUGACCCCACCUUCUUCCAUUGCAUGGCUGCAGGAAGCAGUUAUUAUCUCAGUGUCCCCUUUUGCCUUUUCAGUCUUCCAAGAUCUGUUGAAUCAAUCUCCUCUACUAAAUUCU